rnacentral:lncRNA from 1 species
AAAAAGAGGAAGAGACAUGAGAACCCUCUCCCUGCACGUAGGCACCAAGGAAAGGUCAUCUGAGGACAUCACCCGGAAGAGCGCUGUCAGCAGAACCCGAUGUGCAGCCUCUCCGACCUCAGACCUGCAGCCUCCAGAACCACAAGAAAUAAAUGUUCAAGCCACCAAAUCUAUGGUAAUUUGUCAUGGCAGCCUGAGCUGAACACAUUUGCUUCUCUGUCCCCGGUGCGAUGAGAGUCUUGCUCUAUCACCCAGGCUGGAGAGCAGCGUUGUGAUCAGGACUCAUUGCAACAUCCACCUCCCAGGUUCAAGUGAUUCUUGUGCCUCAGCCUCCCAAGUAGCUGGGAUUACAGGUAUGUGCCAUCAUUCCCAGCUAAUUUUUGUAUUUUUAGUAGAGACAGGGUUUCACCAUGUUGCCCAGGCUGGUCUUGAACUCCUGGCCUCAAGUGAUCUGCCAGCCUCGGCCUCCCAAAGUGCUGGGAUUACAGGCGUGAGCCACAGCGCCCCGCUGAAAGUUUUCUAAUAAAAGAUAAUUUGAUUUAAAUGCAUACGUUGCAAUGUACAUUGCCUGCUGCUAUCCAACUGCAACUAAAAUAGGAAAGGGAUGGGCUCUGGCAGUGGGAACAGUGUUACCUUACACAGAAUUAAAUGCUGGGACAAGAAUGGGAUUCCCCUCUGGCCCAUUGUUCCCUAAAUAUAACAAUUAUGCAAAUUAUUUUUGUGCAGGCUUAAGAAUGCGCUGUAAGUGUUUUUGGUGGGCCUGGAAAGGCAGCCUUCCUAAAAACGGUAGAAAUACUGCAAUUAAAUCAUUUCAAGUGAUUUGAACAUAACAUGGUGUUACCGUGCCCUCUUUGUAGUCUGCAACUACUGUCUUAAAGAAAGUAUUAGGCUUGUAUCCUUCUCAAGAUCUCUGGUUAGGGCUUCUUAUUUAAGAACAAAGAGAAGGUUGAACCUCUCAUUAGAAACAAAGUUAUAAUUCAAUGCUCCUGCAUUUCCUCCAAUGCAUUUGGUGUUAGCGACAUAUCUAUCAGGUGUAGGCUGUCAUCC